ACUAGGAUUAGAUACCCUAUUAUUAAAAUUUAAAAUUAUAAUACUAAAAUAGUAGAUAAUUAUUUAUUAAAACUUAAAUAAUUUGGCGGUAUUUUAGUUUAUUUAGAGGAAUCUGUUUAAUAAUUGAUAUUCCACGAAUAAAUUUACUUAAUUUAUUAUUUUGUAUAUCGUUGUUAUAAAAAUAUUUUUUAAUAAAAUUAAUAUUU
rnacentral:rRNA from 1 species